rnacentral:rRNA from 1 species
CAGUAGCCGCGGGAAUACAGAGGGUGCGAGCGUUAAUCGGAUUUACUGGGCGUAAAGCGUGCGUAGGCGGCUUCUUAAGUCGGAUGUGAAAUCCCUGAGCUUAACUUAGGAAUUGCAUUCGAUACUGGGAAGCUAGAGUAUGGGAGAGGAUGGUAGAAUUCCAGGUGUAGCGGUGAAAUGCGUAGAGAUCUGGAGGAAUACCGAUGGCGAAGGCAGCCAUCUGGCCUAACACUGACGCUGAGGUACGAAAGCAUGGGGAGCAAACAGGAUUAGAUACCCCAGUAGUCCCUGUCUCUUAUAC